CAGUGGCUUGAAACCAAUAAAUAGAACAUUAAUGAAGAAUAUGAGAUGAAGCAAGUUCCAGCACCAUCACAGGCAACCAAAAUCCUCGUGUAGGAGUUUGAUAGGUGGCAGAUUCUGAAAGCUGAGAUAAUGUUUGUGCUCGAAGUAUAUCCCAAACGACUGCAGAAAAGUAAAAUUUAUUUAAGGAAAGCCUAAAAUACUACAAAUUUUAGCAGUUUUGAGAUAAUUUGCCUAUGUAAGCUGAUAUGAAAUUAAUCCAUUAUUCAAGUUUUUCAGAAAUUAACUGUGAAGAUGAAAUUUUCUGCUAUAAAUAUGGCAGCAAAUGAAGUAAUGAUGACACUGUUGAGAAAAUUUGGUUAUGAAAUAGCCACAUGCUUGUUCUGACAUUCUACAAAUAUUCCAUGAGGUUGUUUUCCAUAUUGGCUCCCUGGAAAGCCUUAGAAAUUCUCAAGAAGUCUUGGCUACUGAUUCCAGAUAUCCGUGUCAAGGUGGAGCAAAGUCUCUUCCUCUUGUUGACUGGAACACAGAAAAUUACUAUCAUCUGCACCACCCCACCCUACCUUUAUCUGUAAAAUAAUUGCUAUAUUUUUAUGAUGCCAUUGUAAUCAACCAACUGUAUCACUUUUUAAAAUUGUAUCUGAGGCUAAAUAUAAUUUACUGCCUAAAAUUUAAAUAUAUUAAUAAACUUA
ensembl:lncRNA novel transcript